UACGGAGGAUGCAAGCGUUAUCCGGAUUUAUUGGGUUUAAAGGGUGCGUAGGCGGCUUUUUAAGUCAGUGGUGAAAUCCUGUCGCUCAACGAUAGAAUUGCCAUUGAUACUGACAAGCUUGAGUACAAUUGAGGUAAGCGGAAUGUGUAGUGUAGCGGUGAAAUGCUUAGAUAUUACACAGAACACCAAUUGCGAAGGCAGCUUACUAAACUGUUACUGACGCUGAUGCACGAAAGCGUGGGGAGCGAACAGG
rnacentral:rRNA from 1 species